AGCAGUCGUUCAACGUCGCAUUUGUCUGAAUUAGAAAGCACUGAUCAGUAAUUAUUACGUCACUGCAAAAGAAGUACACAUUGACGAAUCUUGGCUUUAUUAUCAGAUAAAACGUACGCGAAGCCCCACACGUUGGUGUCGUCACCGCUAAGAGCACACUUACCGUCACCGGCUUCUGAAGACACGUGGCAAUGUAUUCGGCCAUGUACUGCGCUGGCUUCUUUGGCGCCCGCCUAAUGUCAUGCACGCUGGAUGCAUCGUGAGAAAUGCGCAUUGUUCGUUGGUCUGCGGAACGAAAAAUCAAAGAGACAACUUGGAACGCAAAAGAGGUGCCCUUAGUUAGAGACAGAUAGAUGUUCGAUCAAAGUAGGCGCUGAGAAUCUCAAACAUUUCUUUUAAGCAGUCGUUCAACGUCGCAUUUGUCUGAAUUAGAAAGCACUGAUCAGUAAUUAUUACGUCACUGCAAAAGAAGUACACAUUGACGAAUCUUGGCUUUAUUAUCAGAUAAAACGUACGCGAAGCCCCACACGUUGGUGUCGUCACCGCUAAGAGCACACUUACCGUCACCGGCUUCUGAAGACACGUGGCAAUGUAUUCGGCCAUGUACUGCGCUGGCUUCUUUGGCGCCCGCCUAAUGUCAUGCACGCUGGAUGCAUCGUGAGAAAUGCGCAUUGUUCGUUGGUCUGCGGAACGAAAAAUCAAAGAGACAACUUGGAACGCAAAAGAGGUGCCCUUAGUUAGAGACAGAUAGAUGUUCGAUCAAAGUAGGCGCUGAGAAUCUCAAACAUUUCUUUUAAGCAGUCGUUCAACGUCGCAUUUGUCUGAAUUAGAAAGCACUGAUCAGUAAUUAUUACGUCACUGCAAAAGAAGUACACAUUGACGAAUCUUGGCUUUAUUAUCAGAUAAAACGUACGCGAAGCCCCACACGUUGGUGUCGUCACCGCUAAGAGCACACUUACCGUCACCGGCUUCUGAAGACACGUGGCAAUGUAUUCGGCCAUGUACUGCGCUGGCUUCUUUGGCGCCCGCCUAAUGUCAUGCACGCUGGAUGCAUCGUGAGAAAUGCGCAUUGUUCGUUGGUCUGCGGAACGAAAAAUCAAAGAGACAACUUGGAACGCAAAAGAGGUGCCCUUAGUUAGAGACAGAUAGAUGUUCGAUCAAAGUAGGCGCUGAGAAUCUCAAACAUUUCUUUUAAGCAGUCGUUCAACGUCGCAUUUGUCUGAAUUAGAAAGCACUGAUCAGUAAUUAUUACGUCACUGCAAAAGAAGUACACAUUGACGAAUCUUGGCUUUAUUAUCAGAUAAAACGUACGCGAAGCCCCACACGUUGGUGUCGUCACCGCUAAGAGCACACUUACCGUCACCGGCUUCUGAAGACACGUGGCAAUGUAUUCGGCCAUGUACUGCGCUGGCUUCUUUGGCGCCCGCCUAAUGUCAUGCACGCUGGAUGCAUCGUGAGAAAUGCGCAUUGUUCGUUGGUCUGCGGAACGAAAAAUCAAAGAGACAACUUGGAACGCAAAAGAGGUGCCCUUAGUUAGAGACAGAUAGAUGUUCGAUCAAAGUAGG
rnacentral:lncRNA from 1 species